GUGAGGAAUAUUGCGCAAUGGAGGCAACUCUGACGCAGCCAUGCCGCGUGCAGGAAGAAGGCGCUACGCGUUGUAAACUGCUUUUAACCGGGAAGAAACCCCAGGACGUGUCCUGGGUUGACGGUACCGGAGGAAUAAGCACCGGCUAACUUCGUGCCAGCAGCCGCGGUAAUACGAAGGGUGCAAGCGUUAUCCGGAGUCAUUGGGGUUAAAGGGUGCGUAGGCGGAGCGUUAAGUCAGUGGUGAAAUCCUGCAGCUUAACUGUAGACUUGCCAUUGAUACUGGCGCUCUUGAGUGCGCUUGAAGUGGGCGGAAUGUGCCGUGUAGCGGUGAAAUGCUUAGAUAUGGCACAGAACACCAAUUGCGAAGGCAGCUCACUAAGGCGAUACUGACGCUGAGGCACGAAAGCGUGGGGAUCGAACAGGAUUAGAUACCCUUGUAGUCC
rnacentral:rRNA from 1 species